UUUUUGGCUUUUUCACGUUUUACUUCCAACCCAUUAAUGGAUUCUUUGAAUUGGGGUGAAUUUUGAAGUGUUUUUCAUUUGGGUUUAAUGGUUUGAUAUUGAUAAAGAAAGUUAGCUGUGAAAUGGAUUCUGGAAUGCAUGGUGAACAGAGUAUGUGUUUUGGCCAUUAUGGGAAAGGAAAGGUUUGUGAUGUGAGAAGCUACGGUAUGAAUGCAAGAGUUUAAAGUGGAUAUCUGGUAAUUGCAAUUGUGUGAUACUGAUUUGCAUUAGAUGAAUGGGUCUGAAAAACCGUUCAACAAGUUCUUCUAUUUCUUUUAUUUUUGAUGAUGAUAGUGAAGAAAAUUGCAAAUGAUUGUUUGUGUUGGGAAAAUGGUAUGUAUGUUCUUGAAUUUUUUGGAUCCAUUUUGGUGUUUGCUGUGUGCUUAAGAAUUAUCUUAUAACUGUUAUUUUUGCUGAGUUAGUUAAACUAUGUAGAAUGAAUGCAUGAAUUUAGAAGUAAAUAUUUGAUUGAACUGUUGUUAAGUUCAUCCUCAUAUAUGAGAUCGAGCUUAAAGUUGCCACUCUCAAACAAGUUUUAAAUCAUGUGCUAAGCAAUUAGAUUUAGGUUAGUUUCUUGAUGAUAACUUGUGUUUCGUAGGUGAAUGUUCCCAAGACAAAGAA
rnacentral:misc_RNA from 1 species